AGUGAACGCUGGCGGUAGGCCUAACACAUGCAAGUCGAACGGCAGCACAGUAAGAGCUUGCUCUUACGGGUGGCGAGUGGCGGACGGGUGAGGAAUACAUCGGAAUCUACUUUUUCGUGGGGGAUAACGUAGGGAAACUUACGCUAAUACCGCAUACGACCUACGGGUGGAAGCAGGGGAUCUUCGGACCUUGCGCGAUUGAAUGAGCCGAUGUCGGAUUAGCUAGUUGGCGGGGUAAAGGCCCACCAAGGCGACGGUCCGUAGCUGGUCUGAGAGGAUGAUCAGCCACACUGGAACUGAGACACGGUCCAGACUCCUACGGGAGGCAGCAGUGGGGAAUAUUGGACAAUGGGCGCAAGCCUGAUCCAGCCAUACCGCGUGGGUGAAGAAGGCCUUCGGGUUGUAAAGCCCUUUUGUUGGGAAAGAAAAGCAGCAGGUUAAUACCCCGCUGUUCUGACGGUACCCAAAGAAUAAGCACCGGCUAACUUCGUG
rnacentral:rRNA from 1 species